GUUUAAAUAGUUUAAUAAAAAUAUUGAUUUGUGGUGUCAUUGAUGGGAGUUAUUCCCUUUAAACC
rnacentral:tRNA from 1 species